rnacentral:lncRNA from 1 species
GGAUUGCCAGGAGAGAAUUCCAUUAUUUUCUUGGUUCUGGGAUUGCCAGGAGAGAAUUCCAUUAUUUUCUUGGUUCCAGGACUGCCAUGAAAGCAUUCCACCGUUUUCAUCAGUUCUAGGGUUACCAGGGACAAUUCCCUGUAUUUGUUGGUAAUGUUUGGGGAUCUCAGAGACGAAUUCCUGCCCUUCCAGAUGGGGAUUCAUCCCCAGGAGCCUGAAGCUGCCUGAGGUCUGGAGGGAUAAAUGUAACAUUCCAUGGAAGCUCCCUGUUCAGUACAGGGCACCCCAAACAUCCUUUUUGUUGGGAAUUUGGAAUUUUCUGGGGCAGAAAGCAAAGUUUUCCUGAUUCUGGUGGGGAGUGUGGGAUAAUUAGCAGGGAAUUGCUUUUGAACUGUGUUUGCACACGUGGUCAUUGCCAAAAACCCAGGUUGGGAACAACAUCCUGCAGCAGUGACAGGACAGGUGGAACUCAGGUGGAACUCAGGUGUAACUCAGGUGUAACUCAGUGUUUGUGUCCUGCAGGGAAUGAACUCCUCGAUUUUCCUCACCUUCCCCAGCACAUUUGGCUGAUUUGUUUCCUUUCCAAAUGAGAAUUUCUCUUCUUGCAGGGAGAACAGGAACCCUCACACCUCCUGGGCAGUGCACCUGAGGGCGACCUGGUGAGAUGUGAUGGAAAUGACAAUUUUGCCACGAUGAACACGGGGGCAGAACUUCCAGCACCAGCAGGGCCUGGUUUUCCAAACAGGCUGAGCUCCAGCAUUUGCACAGACACCACAAGAAGAAAAAUAAGCACACACAGCCCUGCUGGUGCCCAGCAGGAGCAGCAGAGCCUCCUUCUCCUGCAGGGAAGGAGCGAUCCCAGGGAUGGGAAUGGAAUGACUUUGGAGGGAAUCAGCUUCAGGAGAAAGAAGGAGCUGCUCCCAGGUCUCCAAAAUCUCAUGGAUGGUUUGUAGGACCAGAGCCUGAUGGGAUUCAUGGGUGGGCAAUUGAGCCGAGAACCUGG